rnacentral:rRNA from 1 species
AGGGUUCGAUUCUGGCUCAGGAUGAACGCUGGCGGCGUGCUUAACACAUGCAAGUCGAACGAGUUAUGAUGAAACCUAGUGAUUCAUAAAUGAGUGGCGGACGGGUGAGUAACGCGUGGGUAACCUGCCUUACACUGGGGGAUAACACUUAGAAAUAGGUGCUAAUACCGCAUAAGCGCACAGCUUCGCAUGAAGUAGUGUGAAAAGCUCCGGUGGUGUAAGAUGGACCCGCGUCUGAUUAGCUAGUUGGCGGGGUAAUAGCCCACCAAGGCGACGAUCGGUAGCCGGCCUGAGAGGGUGAUCGGCCACAUUGGGACUGAGAUACGGCCCAGACUCCUACGGGAGGCAGCAGUAGGGAAUAUUGCGCAAUGGGGGGAACCCUGGACGCAGCCAACGCCACGUGUGGGAAGAAGCAUUUCGGUGUGUAAACCACUGUCGGAAAGGAAUAACGGAAGACUUCGGUCUUUAUGAAUGUACUUUUAGAGGAAGCACCGGCAAACUUCGUGCCAGCAGCCGC